rnacentral:rRNA from 1 species
GAUGAACGCUGGCGGCGUGCCUAACACAUGCAAGUCGAGCGAACGGACCCGAAGCUUGCUUCGCUGAUGUUAGCGGCGGACGUGUGAGUAACACGUGUAUAACCUACCUAUAAGACUGAGAUAACUACGGGAAACCGGCGCUUAUACCGUAUAAUCUUUUGAACCGUAUUGUUCAAAAGUGAAAGACGGUCUUGCUGUCACUUAUAGAUGGUUCCGCGCUGCAUGAGCUAGUUGGUAAGGUAACGGCUUACGAAGGCAACGAUGCAUAGCCGACCUGAGAGGGGGAUCGGCCACACUGGAAGUGAGCCGCGGUCCAUGGUCCUGCGGUAGGCAGCAGACGGGAAUCUUCCGCAAUAGGCGAGAACCUUGCGGAGUGACGCGACGUGUGUGAUGAAGGUCUUCGGAUCGUAAAACUCUGUUUUUAGUGAUGAACAUAUUUGGAAGUAACUGUACACAUCGUGACGGUACCUAGUCAGAAAGCCCCGGCUAACUACGUG